rnacentral:misc_RNA from 1 species
GGAAGGAUCAUUAAUAAUGAAGCCGGGCAACCGGUCCUUCUAACCCUUGAUUAUCAUAAUUUGUUGCUUUGGUGGGCCGCGCAAGCACCGGCUUCGGCUGGAUCGUGCCCGCCAGAGGACCCCAACUCUGUAUCAAAUAUUGUCUGAGUACUAUAAAAUAGUUAAAACUUUCAACAACGGAUCUCUUGGUUCUGGCAUCGAUGAAGAACGCAGCGAAAUGCGAUAAGUAAUGUGAAUUGCAGAAUUCAGUGAAUCAUCGAAUCUUUGAACGCACAUUGCGCCCUCUGGUAUUCCGGAGGGCAUGCCUGUUCGAGCGUCAUUAUGACCAAAUCACCCCCGUGGUGGACUUGGAGCUGGCCGUCUGGCCUCUCUUAAAACCAGUGGCGGUGCUCUUAAGCUCUACGCGUAGUAAUUUUCUCGCUAUAGGGUCUUGAGGGUGCUUGCCAGCAACCCCAACUAUUAUAAGGUUGACCUCGGAUCAGGUAGGGAUACCCGCUGAACUUAAGCAUAUCAAUAAGCGGAGGAAAAGAAACCAACAGGGAUUACCUCAGUAACGGCGAGUGAAGCGGUAACAGCUCAAAUUUGAAAUCUGGCUCUUUCAGGGUCCGAGUUGUAAUUUGUAGAAGAUGCUUUGGGCAUUGCUCCGGUCUAAGUUCCUUGGAACAGGACGUCAUAGAGGGUGAGAAUCCCGUAUGUGACUGGUGGCAUUUGUCCGUGUAAAGCUCUUUCGACGAGUCGAGUUGUUUGGGAAUGCAGCUCAAAAUGGGUGGUAUAUUUCAUCUAAAGCUAAAUAUUGGCCAGAGACCGAUAGCGCACAAGUAGAGUGAUCGAAAGAUGAAAAGCACUUUGGAAAGAGAGUUAAACAGUACGUGAAAUUGUUGAAAGGGAAGCGCUUGCAACCAGACUUGCAGGUCGUUGAUCAUCCGGGGUUCUCCCCGGUGCACUCGGCGGCUUUCAGGCCAGCAUCGGUUUGAGUGGUGGGAUAAAGGCCUUGGGAAUGUGGCUCCUCUCGGGGAGCGUUAUAGCCCAAGGUGCAAUGCCGCCUACUCGGACCGAGGACCGCGCUUCGGCUAGGAUGCUGGCGUAAUGGUUGUAAGCGACCCGUCUUGAAACACGGACCAAGGAGUCUAACAUCUAUGCGAGUGUUUGGGUGUCAAACCCAUACGCGUAAUUAACGUGAACGGAGGUAAGAACCCUUAAGGGUGCAUUAUCGACCGAUCCUGAUGUCUUCGGAUGGAUUUGAGUAAGAGCAUAGCUGUUGGGACCCGAAAGAUGGUGAACUAUGCCUGAAUAGGGUGAAGCCAGAGGAAACUCUGGUGGAGGCUCGCAGCGGUUCUGACGUGCAAAUCGAUCGUCAAAUUUGGGUAUAGGGGCGAAAGACUAAUCGAACCAUCUAGUAGCUGGUUCCUGC